rnacentral:lncRNA from 1 species
CUAGUUUGGAUUCUAACCCAAUAGCCCUUCUCAAUGUCAUAUGCUGCUACCUUAUCACUUUCUGAAUAAACAUAAAACAUCCCAUUGCACACAACCCCCGAACAAGCUACUCCAAAAUCUACAGGCAGCCUCUGGAUCUCUGUCCAUUUAUUUGACAUGGAAUCAUAAAUUUCCCCUGAACCAGUCCCGAACAAGCUACUCCAAAAUCUACAGGCAGCCUCUGGAUCUCUGUCCAUUUAUUUGACAUGGAAUCAUAAAUUUCCCCAGAAUCCAGAGGCUCAUCCCAGCAUCCAAGACCCCCUACAGCAAACAAGAGAAAGCGUCUUUGAUCUUUAUUUGA